rnacentral:lncRNA from 1 species
CAGAGGCCUCUCCCACAGAGCUCCUGAGGGUUCCAAUUCCUGAUUCCCAGAACGCUGCCAAAUUUGUUGGCCUUAUGAUUCUGGGGAACGUUGAAACAUAGUUGUGUCUACACGGACUGGAACUAUCUUACCUGAGAAAACUGAAUAUUGUUCAAUGCAUCUUGUAUUAGCAUCUUUGGAAAAGAUUUGUGUAUCUCUAUACCAUGUUACCAUGUAACAUGGGAAGUCUUGUCCAACAGAAUCUCACUGAUUCUUUGUGUAACAGGUUGGCUGAAAAUAUUCCUUCAAUGUGAUUAGAGAAGUGAAGAAUUCUAUUAGACGCAGUUCCCUGAAAGACCAUCUACAGUAAAUACAGCUGUGGGUUUCAAUUUAAAUUAAAAUUGAUUGCAUGCUUAUUGCUCCUUCUAAGCUUUGGAACUGGAAAAUUAAAAAUUCACAUGUAGCAAUUUUGAUUUGCUUUUGAGAGAAAGUUCUUGAUUUAGAUACUCAGCAGGUUGCCAAUAGGUAAAUAUAGUAGUAAGGAAAACAGAAAAGUUUUCUUUUUGAAAGGUUAUCACAGUUGUAUGGAUAAAACUGAAAGCAGAAUCUUCGUCUGAACUUCUUAUACAAUUAUAUCAUAAACUUCUCAUCUCUGUUGUUGGUAUUGUUUGUUGAGGGCACAGAAGGAGGAUUAACACACACCAUAGUUUUCCUAAGAGAGCCCUGCUGGUCCUUAUGCGACUUUCCCAGUCUUUCAAUCAUCUAGGUUAGAUGAUAGUGGAUAUUAUCAUCUUCCCUCUUAGAAACUGUUUUUAGCUGGAGCCCAGUCAUGGCCUCAGCAACAUGAGACUCAGCUAUUGCCCCUUUAUUCAAAGCUAAGAUUUUCCAGCAUUGUGCUGGGUGAAACAUUAUCAGAUUUAAGUCAUAUAGAAUCAUAUUUGGAUUUCAUAAAGUCAAGUUACUGAAUGAUAUUUAGAACCUUGAAGUUCUGUGAUCUCAUAAAAUAACUUAAGUUUUGAUCUAAUUUUAAUUUUAAGAGAGAAUUGAAAUGAAAGCAAUGAAAUUCAUCUUCAACACCAUAGUUGUCCUAUCACAUUUUCUUACCAUUCUUGUUUAAACUAAGUUUUGAAAGAC